rnacentral:rRNA from 1 species
UAAUCUCAUAAACCCGGUCUUAGUUCAGAUUGCAGGCUGCAACUCGCCUGCAUGAAGGCGGAAUCGCUAGUAAUCGCAGGUCAGCAUACUGCGGUGAAUACGUUCCCGGGCCUUGUACACACCGCCCGUCACACCAUGGAAGCUGGUCACGCCCGAAGUCGUUAUCUCAACCCGCAAGGGAGGGAGGCGCCUAAGGCAGGGCUGGUGACUGGGGUGAAGUCGUAACAAGGUAGCCGUACCGGAAGGUGCGGCUGGAUCACCUCCUUA